rnacentral:lncRNA from 1 species
CUGUGUCACCUGUGUCACCUCCUGUCACCUGUGUCACCUGUGUGUCACCUGUGUCACCUCCUGUCACCUGUGUGUCACCUCCUGUCACCUCUUGGGUCACCUGUGUGUCACUUUGUGUCACCUCCUGUCACCUGUGUCACCUGUGUAUCACCUGUGUGUGUCACCUGUGUCACCUGUGUGUGUCCCCCCAGUGUCCCCCCAGGUCACUCUGUGUCCCCCAAUGUCCCCUCGGGUCCCCCCAUGUCCCCUCCCCCACAUCCCCCACCCCAUUCCCAUAGAUCCCAUUAUCCCCAUUAUCCCCAUUAUUCCCAUUAUUCCCAUUAUUCCCAUUAUUGUUAUUCCCAUCACUCCCAGGUCAUCCCCAGGUUUCUCCCAGGUUAUUCCCAGGUCAUUCCCAUCAUUCCCAUUGUCAUUCCCAGAUUUUUCCCAUCAUUCCCAGAUUUUUCCUGUCAUUCCCAGGAUAUAUCGGUGUCGUUAACCGGAGCCAGAAGGACAUCGACGGCCGCAAGGACAUCCCCACCAUCCCCAUUAUUCCCAUUAUCCCCAUCCCCAUCACUCCCAGGUUUCUCCCAGGUUAUUCCCAGAUUUUUCCCAUCAUUCCCAGAUUUUUCCUGUCAUUCCCAGGAUAUAUUGGAGUGGUGAACCAUAGCCAGAAGGACAUCGAUGGCCGCAAGGACAUCCCCACCAUCCCCAUUAUUCCCAUUAUUCCCAUUAUUCCCAUUAUUCCCAUUAUUCCCAUCCCCACCAUCCCCAUUAUUCCCAUUAUUCCCAUCACUCCCAGGUUUCUCCCAGGUCAUUCCCAGAUUUUUCCCAUCAUUCCCAGAUUUUUCCUGUCAUUCCCAGGUUACAUUGGUGUCGUUAACCAGAGCCAGAAGGACAUCGAUGGCCGCAAGGACAUCCCCACCAUCCCCAUUAUUCCCAUUAUUCCCAUUCCCAUCAUCCCCAGGUUUCUCCCAGGUUAUUCCCACGUCAUUCCCAUCAUUCCCAUUGUCAUUCCCAGAUUUUUCCCAUCAUUCCCAGAUUUUUCCUGUCAUUCCCAGGAUAUAUUGGGGUCGUUAACCGGAGCCAGAAGGACAUCGACGGCCGCAAGGACAUGCCCACCAUCCCCAUUAUUCCCAUUAUUCCCAUUCCCAUUAUUCCCAUUGCCAUUCCCAUCAUCCCCAGGUUAUUCCCAGGUUUCUCCCAGGU